UACAGGGGGUGCAAACGUUGCUCGGAAUCAUUGGGCGUAAAGCGCACGUAGGCGGUCUGUUAUGUCGGAUGUGAAAGCCCUCGGCUCAACUGAGGAAGUGCAUCCGAAACUGGCAGGCUAGAGUACUAAAGAGGGUCGCGGAAUUCCUGGUGUAGCGGUGAAAUGACGCAGAUAUCAGGAGGAACACCGGUGGCGAAGGCGGGUCUCUGGGCCGAUACUGACGCUGAGGAGCGAAAGCGUGGGGAGCGAACAGG
rnacentral:rRNA from 1 species